GUGGGGAAUCUUGCGCAAUGGGCGAAAGCCUGACGCAGCCAUGCCGCGUGAAUGAUGAAGGUCUUAGGAUUGUAAAAUUCUUUCACCGGGGACGAUAAUGACGGUACCCGGAGAAGAAGCCCCGGCUAACUUCGUGCCAGCAGCCGCGGUAAUACGAAGGGGGCUAGCGUUGCUCGGAAUUACUGGGCGUAAAGGGCGCGUAGGCGGACAGUUAGUCAGAGGUGAAAGCCCAGGGCUCAACCUUGGAAUUGCCUUUGAUACUGGCUGUCUUGAGUACGGGAGAGGUGAGUGGAACUCCGAGUGUAGAGGUGAAAUUCGUAGAUAUUCGGAAGAACACCAGUGGCGAAGGCGACUCACUGGCCCGUUACUGACGCUGAGGCGCGAAAGCGUGGGGAGCAAACAGGAUUAGAUACCCUGGUAGUCC
rnacentral:rRNA from 1 species